AAAUGUUCACAAUAAAGUGAUAAAUGAUCAUGUUCGAUAUAUCAAUACAUAUAAAGUUCCUUUUACAAUUAAAAAUUAAUUGAUAAGAGAAUAUCCUGAUUUAAACAGGCAAGGAUAGUAAAUAAAAACGCAACUUCGAAAAGGAAAAUAUAAAUAAUUAUGGUAAUUUUUGUUUUCAUUUAUGUAUAUAUUUGUAUAACUAAAUAACUACACAUAUAUAAAUAUUUGAAAUGCUUAAAUAAUGGAAGAAACCUAAAUAUUUGGGUUUCGAGUGAGAUUAAAACUAGUUAGUACAUACAUUUUACAUAUAUGUAUAUGCAUAUAUAAUUGUCCAAUGAUGCUAUGCACGAUUUUUCAAGCACCUCCGAUAAUCUACAAAAAGGUAUUCCUAAUAAAAAUUGAGUUCCCUAAUAAGUUAUUGUAGAAAAUUAAUUGUAUAUUGUCCUGAUGACCAUUCAAAUAAUGGCUAAGUAAACCUAUAUGGAUUCGUCUAAAAAAAUGUUACGUUGACAUUUUAUAGAGUGAAAAACUUUAUGAUAAUAUCUACUAUCCCAAUUUGUUAAGACACACACCUGUGAUUUAACGUCUUGAUAAACCUUUCAUACGUUAAUGUUUCUAUAAGUCCGAUCUAGGUAUCUGAAUUCAAGGGUGAGUUGCAUAGAUUAUAUAUAUGUUGGGUUCACAUUAUGAUUAGGGUCAGGGGCGUGAAACGAAUUUCCGUUUGGAUUAAACAUUGUUGUUAUGCAAUAGAGAAGAUAUUUACUAGUACAAAUAUGAGUAUUGGAGAAUUUUACAGGUAACCGUGGUAAUUAAAUACUCGAGAUGCUAAUGGCAAUGAUCCUAGGUCCAAUAACGAAUCCGCGGUCAACGGGAUAACAAAAUAUGCUUUCUUCCAAAGUCCAAAUUGUACUCAACUUACUUGUCCACAGUACAAGUAUUACUGAACUAACUCUUUGUUAAAACGUGGAAUAUCCACCGAGCGUAAAGACGCUAAGUAACUCGCUAAUGCGACCUCACGGGGGAAUGACUUUCCGUCACGAUGAUGCUGCAGAGGAAAACUAUGAUGGGGUGUGUCUCAGGACACGAGAUCAUCGGAUUCGUCGAGGAAAGCCUUCGUUCGAAAAGUGAGGGAAAUGGACGUUCCUGUCAAUUGGUUAAUUUCUAUGUUGGUGGUUGAAAGAGGAUGCUAACCGCCCUUGAGGGAAAGUUGCUAGCGGGAAGCGUCGUUCGCGGGAAAAGCAGAUUUCCCGUAUCUUUCCGUAGUAGGUGAUAGAUUUAAGGACUGUUAGGAUAAAGACUGUUUGUCCGUUUGAAGGACCUUAGUUAACUAAAUCCUAAGAUUUAUAGUGGGUCCUCAGGCUAGCUGAACAUAUACUGUGGAGAUGCAUUGACAUCUGGUAAUCAUCUUGCCGAAGAAUAGGGUCUGUAUGUGGUGAGCCACGAGAAAAAGACCGUUGAAAUGUUUACUGUCAACUGCCGCUACAACUAUUUCUUUUUAAGGAGAGCUAUAUGAUUACUCCAUACCUUUGUUAGGUAAAACGUUCAUCCCGUGACCGCGGCUACGUUUAGCCACUGGUUGUGUCACUUCGAGCCCAAACUCAUUACCACAAAUCUCGUACAAUUAUAAUCGGGUUAAAUCACAAAGACUAAAAUAUUGGGGAUUUUCCCAAGAAUUCCAAAGUGAAGGCCCCGGUGUCCUUUCAUCUCCGACAUAUAUAAUAUAAAAAUAUUAUAUCUCACAAAUAAUUCAGUAUAUGUAUACACAGAGUUAUCCACUUAACUCGGAACCUGUACAUUUACUAUUAUAGUCGGAUGUCGUUCGCCAUGUAUAACUUGUUGCUAGAAGUAUAAUUAGUUGUGAACACAGAGCGGUUUGCUUGCCGCCGAAGGACUUUAAAUUUAACGUCACAAUAAGAAGACGAUUGCUGAGAAAGCGAGUCUUGCCUUUCGAGGAUGUGGCCAUAUUCGGUAUUAUUUUAAUUGUAAGAAUCUUAACAAUACAACCAAAACAAUCUUAUAAGAAUGAUAUAAAAAAUAUAAAAAUUUUUCCUACUUCGACGAUUUAUAAGUAAUUGCAUAAUCGCCGGAACAUAUUACGGGGAAUACCGAGGGAACUGCUUCGAGCGAUCAGUUUCAUCUCUAACAUAAACAACUUCCGUCGUAUUCCGACUAAUCCGAACGGACCCAGCCAUUACAAAUUCAUUUCUAUCAUAUUCAUAUUUAAAUUCAUUUUUAUUUUUCAAACUGGCCUGCCUAAUAUGAAUUCUAUGAGGCAUCUUGAUGUAUUUUAAUCAGUUUCCUUAUUUUUUAUUCUUACAUUCAACGUAUUUGUAGCAGAGUGAUCAAAAAUUAGGUAAUAGCAUUCAAUUUGUAGAAAAUGAUCGUUAAUAAAUUUUGAGUUUUGAAAUACGACGUAGAAGAAAAUGUUUAAUACGUUAAAAAUAAAAAUUACCAAACAAAAUAGAGAAAGACCUCAAUGUUCGUAAGAAUAUGAACAAUUUCAUUGUAAUUCGCUAAUAACUUUGCCAGCUGAAUGCAACAUUAAAUAAAAAAUAAAUUAAGAACAUAAAAUCAUCAAGUAUUUCUCAGCGAUUUUCUUCUCCUUAUUGUGACAUAAAAUUUAAAGUCCGGCGAGACCCUUUAUGUGGUCUCACCUAAUUAUUCUUUUAUCAACAACUCAUAAAUGGCGAACAUCUUAUUGUAGUAGUAAGCGUACACGUUUAACAACACCGUAAUUAUUCUCAUGCAUUGUUGCGACCGCAGGUUCUGGGCUAAGUGCAUAAUCCUAUAUGUGUGUAUUAAAUAUUAUCUCUCGUAACACACUAUCAAGUUCUAUAGAUAAGAUUUAAGAAUGUUUAGUUUUCAUGUAAAAAAAUCUGAGAAAUAUAUCAAUUAAUCUAGUCCUCAAUAUUGUUAAAUUAUAGUUUCAUUUUUCCAUAUCUCUCAAAUCUUCAAUUUCAACAUUGGAUUGAACACAUUUCUCGUUGCUAAGAUAAAAUAUAUUAAUGUAUGCACAUACAUUUUAUGUUCACUCCAUUAGUGAAAACUUGAAUUCAAAGAUUAGAAUAAGCCAAGACCAAAGUCUUUAUAAUUUCUUAGUACUCAUUCCGCGACAACUUUCUCUUCGGCAAAGGUAUCGGCUUGAAGAUUCGCGAGACUCCCUUCGCUGUUCAGCUUUCAGCGAUUUAGCGACAGAUACUUAGGAAAAUGAUGUCGAGCUGUGUAAAUUCACAGACGUUCCGCGCACUAGAGAGAAACAUCAUCAUUAAGGGGAAAAAACUUUCGCUAAUUGCUAAAAGGCUGACAUUUCAGUUCUGGGAAAACUCUCGAGAUAAGCAGAAAGUACGAAGUGAACGAAACGUUCCAUGGAUGUAAUUGCGGUGAAAAUUCAGCUUUUCUUCUAAUUUCUUUUUCCAUUCCUUUUUCGCCUUUUUUGUCCCUUUCUGUUUGUAAUACUACUAUGAAACUUUGUAUCUCGGAUAGAUCAUAAGUGUUUUUGUCCGUCGACCGUUUGAUUUUUGUAAAAUGAAAAGGC